UACGUAGGGGGCGAGCGUUGUCCGAAUUUACUGGGCGUAAAGCGCGCGUAGGCGGACCUUUAAGUCAGAGGUGAAAUUCCGAGGCUCAACCUCGGAACUGCCUUUGAAACUGGGGGUCUUGAGGUAUGGAGAGGGAAGUGGAAUUCCUGGUGUAGCGGUGAAAUGCGUAGAUAUCAGGAGGAACACCCGUGGCGAAGGCGGCUUCCUGGUCAUAUCCUGACGCUGAGGUGCGAAAGCCAGGGGAG
rnacentral:rRNA from 1 species